UGGAAGUGUGGGCAUGGAUCCGCUGCUCACCGCGUCUGCUGCGCCCUCUGCUGCCGCCACCGUUGUCCAGGGGGUGAGAGCUGAGGAGGACCAUGCACCCAGGUGCACCCAGAUCUGGGAUUGGAGAAGGAGACAGAGGAGAUCUGGCAGGAGAUGGAGGAGCCACGGAGCGGCCUGCUGCCCACCAGUCCCCGACAAGGACAUAAACCCCAGAGCUGCCCAUGGUGCUGGACGGAAGCAGGUGCUCACUCUGCCUGCCGUCUGCCUGCCUCGCUGCCUUCUCUCUCUCCCAGGAGGGCACAGUCCCCGAGGGAGGAGCAGGAGAGCGUCUUCGGCUCCCGAUGUGCGAUGUGUCGCCACUUGGCCAGCCCUCCGGGGCACCGCACCCCCAUCAGCUGAAGAGAAACACAAGAUACGUGCCAGGAGACCACUUUGGAUAUCCGGGGGGAGAAUGUGGCAGAAGCAGCGACAGAAGUGGCCCUUGAGGAGAAAAUGCGUUCGAACCCUUGGCCGCACCCUGAAUUCUGGCCUCUUCAAGCAAACCCCUGGGAAAGACAUGUCCGAGGGAAUGAGGGAUGGGGCUCUCCGGCCCUGUGUCCUUCAAACAUCUUGAUUUCCUGUUGCUUCUGAAAGACCAACUUCCCUUCAGAGACGGGGAGCAGCACAGGAUGCAGUCGCCCAGGUGGACCCCGAGCCUGGGUGGCUCUGACCAGGGGCUUUUCCCUCUCAGCCCAGGGCACCCACACUGCCUCAGGCUCCGCUCGGAUGAAGAACCUCCUCCCCGUGUCCCAGGCUGCGUCCCUUUUUUCUCUGUGUCUCGGGAACUCGCUCUGCCUUUGAGAACUGCCCAGGCCUCGGCGAACAUGGAGAUGGACUCGCAGACUCUCUCCCACUUCUCCACGUGGGAACUGGCCCCGGAAAGGGCGCGGGCGCCCAGUGAACCCCGCAGCAGGGGGCCAGGGCUUCAGGUGUUGGGCCUCAAGCCUUGUCUCCCUCCCCUUUCCGCUCUGCCUGUGAGGUUCCAGCAUCCGCCUCAUUCCCUGGAAGCGGCAGAGCAGCAGGAUGCCGGGGAGUGUGAGGACAGGAGCAGCACACCCAGUGAGAGGAGCCCCAGGGGCACUGCGCAGCCUCCUGCCGCGUUCCCAGGCCUGGGCGAAGGCAGGUGAGUCACAUUGCCAGGGAAACGCCAGGGCAACGCCAGGGCUGUGGCAAAAUCUCACCAAACCAGCGCUGAGCCAGGCCAGCGACCAUCCCGGGCCGGCAAGGUGACUGUGGGAGGGGAGCCGUCUCCAGCCAGAGACCCCCGCUGGCUGGGCCGAGGAGGCUGGCAGGGCCUCUGGGUCCCGGGUCCCAGGAUGGGUUCUGAGGUGACCUUGGGGGGGACCCCUAGCUGCUCAUUUUACUCCCUCCCCAGUUUCAGAAACAGCUUUGUUCUCUCUCCUGACAGAGUGCAGCAAGAGGUCACAGGAGGCCUUUGCUUGGGGCGGGGGUGUCUGCCGGGAUGACUGGCACCUGGGCAGAAAGGACAGAGCGGUCUCAGGACGGGAGGAAUGAGCCACGCCUGUCGGAAGUGGGGUCACUCACAGGAAGCCAGCCGGGUGCUACGGGGACGCCCAGUGAUCCUGCCACGAGCAGGUGCCCCGGGGCAGGGUGAGGCGAGGUGUGCACGUUCCCGGCCUCUUCCAGGAUCUGAGCGCCCCGUCAGCUCCAAGGGCCACCCCAGCUACCACUCCUAGUGAACCCCGGGGCGUCCAACCUCCAGGGCCUCCCAGACACAGGCAGCCGCCCGAGUCCACACGACGGGGGCUGGGCGGCCACCAUGCCUGGCACCACCCGCCCCCCAUCAGUGCCUUUCAGGGGCCCCGACUCCGACCGCGGCGUUCCCUUCCAGCCAACGUCAGACUCCAGCCCCCACAUGAGCUGUGACUCACUGUCAAGCCAGCGCCUCAGCUCAGAAGCUUCUGAGCCACUGACUUGGUGGGCAGGGGCGGGGGCUGAGGAAUGAACCUUGGGGCUCGGAGCUCAGGGGUCUCACUUUCAGGGCAGAAGCCAACAUCCCCACCCCCCUCCGCCUCUCAAAUCCCAUCCAGAGAGACACUAGGGGAAAGGAGUGAGAUGCACAGAAAUACUUUAGAAAACCCUUCCUCCCCCCACACAUACACACACAGCCUCUCCAUAUAAAUAAAUAAAUAGGGAAUACUGCCGAUGGUGGCGCAGCGAGAUCGCAUCACAUAAAUAAAUAAACAUAAAUACGUAAAAUAAAUAAAAGGCUGCUGGCGGCCAGGCCAGGCGGUCCCCUGGGCCUCUCGCUUCUUCCUAAGGAGGCGCCGUGGCUCCGGGAGCCUCAGUCUCCGUGAAGGGGGUGGCGUCCAGCGGGGCUCCGGGUGGGGAAGAGGGUUAUUUACAGUUGCUGUACAUGCCCUCCCGGCACCUGCCAUCCUGCCUCUGUGGUGACAGCAUUGGCAUCCGUAGGUCUUGGCGGGCGGGGGCCGGGCCUGGGCCAGAGGCGUCCUGGGAGGCCAGGUCCUUGCGCUGCCCGAAGGGUGCAGGGUUUGGGGGGUCGCAGGGCAGCUUCUGGCCCCUCAGGCUGAGGUGAUGGGAAAGACUGGUGAGGGAGGGUUGUUGCUUCAGAAAAAACACGUUUUUCUUCCAAAUGUUUUCCCUGCGGCGUGAGGGGUAAAGGAUGCUGGUCCCCGCUUCCCCACAGCUGAGAGCGGUCCCUUGCUCUCCCCAUGUCCUGUCCCGCUGCUGUGGCCACCACACACGGGAACCCGCCCACCAGGCUCCGGAGAGCCGGUCGGCUGGCGAGGGGCUGCCCGGAGUUUAUUUCAGGAUCCUCUCUCACCCCAUCCGCUGCCUUCUGUGCACGAAGCAGCUGCUGGUGUUUGUGUGUUAGAGAUCAGCUUACCCACUGCCCAGCCCUGGGCAGGGGACAGGGGCGGAGGGCAGAGUGGGGUGGGGCUUCCUCCACUGACAAGGAACUUCAGAAGCCACGGGCAGCCUUGGGCACGGAGCACCCCAGACCCCCAGGCUCUCUGGAUUUGGGUCUUUCCCCCAAACUUGAGCUGCUAUGCCCCAUCCUAGCAAAAUUCCUGAGAGGCAAAGGGGGAGGCGUAGGCCGAGGUGGGUACUCAGCUGCACUGGGCAGGAUCCAGGGUGUGGCCGUCUGGGGGAGGGGAGGGGGCAGGCAGGCGCCAACCGGAGGGCAAGGCCCGACGGGCUGGCGCUGGGGGAUGGGAGCUGACCAUGGCACUGGGGAAUGUUCAGCAGAUGGUCCCAUGGAAUUAAGCUGGUGCCAGCUGGUGGGGCUGUGGCCCUGCUUCCUGCCUAUCUGUUGUGUCCUUUCCCGGGAGGUUGCCGGUCCCUGCGAACAGCCCAGAGGCAUUGUGGGUGAGCCAGGGUGGCCUCUCGUGCUAGAACCUGCUGGGCCCCUUCUCCUGACCUGCGGGGGCACUGGAGCCGCAGGCCCUUCCUCUGUGUCUGCAUCCCUGGGCAGAGGACCCUCCUCCCAACUGAACGCCCGCGUCCCUGCUCACACACGGCCCUUCUAGGACUCAACAGCCUCUAGCCUUUGCUCUGGCCAGUUUGGGGGUGAAAGGCCUGACCCUCUCCUGGAGCUGAAGUGCCCUUGGUCUCUUCUCUUGCCCCCCACCCCACGCCCACCCCCACGAGGGAUCCGUAACCCUGAGCCAGGAGCCGGCUUGAGGGCAGGGUGAUGUCGCCCUGCAUCCUGGGAGCAGGUGUCAGUGGAGCCAUCUCUGCAUUCCCCUGGCCAGGCCCAAACGCUGGAGUCAUGGCCCCGCUGCUGCUUGCAAAGCCUUGAGGGGUGUGUGCCAACAGGGUGGUCUCUCCAUAGGUCCAGGCUUGAGUUGAACCCAGGGUGGCGCUGGUGGAGGCUCCUCGCAGCUGGACAUAGAGGCCGACCCCUCUUUUCCUCUUCCCAGGAGCUCAGGAAGGACAGGGUCCAGGAGCCCUCAAUGUCUGUCACCAAGAAGGCAGGGUGGGCAGGGAGGGGGGCUGGCCGAGGGCAG